UUUGUUCGAUUAUUCCAGUAUUUUUUUGAUUCUUUUUCCUCGUUUUUCGUACAGCUGUUGUCGAUGCUUAGACGCAGCUGUGUGCAAACGUACAAAUCCGUCGGUCGCAUAAAAUUGGCCUAGAAAAUGAAUAGAGGCAAUGGUUUAGACGAGAUUGCGAUUGCAAACCUUCUUGAAGAGGACGAAUCCGAUGUGGAUAUUGAAGAUUCUGGUGAAGAUCAUCCAAUUUUGGGCGAAUUAGUUGAGGAACCAAGUUCUUCAGAAGACUCUUCAGAUGACGAAAACACACCAUUAAAUGUGUUGUUUAAUAAGUCCAGUAUUAUUACUUUUUCUAAAACUGGUCUUCGCGGAAAGGAUCGUCAUAAGUGGGCAACUCAAAAGUCAAAAUCC
rnacentral:sRNA from 1 species